UGGCUUAAGUGGUGUGAGGGAUAGGUUUGGCAUUUUUGGCACCGUUACUAGCUUUAGAGAACUUAGUCUACUUUUGGUAAUGAUGUUAAGAAUACCCAACACAAGUAACAAUACUCAGGACAUAAGGCAUACCAAUAUACUGAGGUUGUGAUAUCCAACUUCACCAUCCUGAAAAGAGCACACAUGAAGGGAGCAAAGGGAACCAGGUUGAGGUGGACCAAUGGGGGAUUUUGGGGACGAUGUGGCCCGGUUGGUUGGAUGGGGUGAACCUUUGGUUUGUAGGAGUAAAUUUGAAAUACAUAUAAGAGAAGUGUAAAGGGCCAAAGCACAAAAAUAGUGUCCUGUUUAUUUUAAGUGUCUUUAAUUCUAUGAUUUUGCCUACAUGAAUGCAACAGAUGAGGCAUGAGAGCAACCUCAAAAGCAUUGGAAGGUCAAUAUAUAUGGUCAAGGUGGAAAAUAAUUUCAUUUUUUAGGAGAAAAGAACAUAAAUGGAGAAGUCGGUGUUAUUUUUGUCAGCAAAAUGAAUAGGUAAGAAGUAAUUAAUCCUCAGAUUUGUUUAUGCAAAUGGUACUUUAUGAGCAUCACAUGUAGCAAACUGCAGCAAUCAGAACCAAUACUGGGACACAUCAGGUGAGCUCACUGAGACAACAACAAGCAACUUUGUUCAGAAUAGAUGGAAAACUGCAUUUUUUGAUAUAGUGUGAUGUGAUAGUGUGAUCAAAACUACGCUUUUUAAAAUUAAAGAAGCAUUAUGCAGCACUCAUAUGGAGCACCAAACAAGAACUCAACAACUCGGUGUUAUAAGAGAACAUUCUACACUUAACCAUGCACCUAAUCCCGGAAGGCCAGAAUACAAAUACUGUUGCAAGGAGUUUUAAAAUACCAACUACUAUUACUUUAAAGUGGCAGUACAGUAAUUGUAUUUGCAACUUGAGAUGCAAGUACUAACACCUGUAGCAGAAAACUAAAGUGAAACUUAUUAGAAAUUACCACCUAUAAUUCAGUGGACAAGGGUACCUGACCUAUUGAAACUUUGGGGGUUCAGUUGAGCUUCUCAGGUAAUCUUGUCAGUGUCAUUUUAAGUUGUGCUUGACCUGCACCAAGCAGCAAAAGUGCUUUGAGUAGAAAAAAGGCAAAAACUUUAGUAAGUUGACCAGCCAGCUCCAUGUUUGUUUCACUGCAGCUCUUUCUUUUUCCAUGCACCAAAGGACUAAAUGCUCUAAAUAUAUGUUUCAUGGAAACAUUGCAAGGCAGCGUAUAGAUGUGUAGCUAUCACUAAUCAUCAGUUAUCCAUGAAGGCUAGAAUACAUCUGACUAUAUGACAUAAGUAUUUGAGGGGCAGGGGUAUUCACUAAGAUAAUUCUGUAGUACUGAUAUGAAGUAAUUAAGUAUGGAAAAAAAUUAAGUGUAGUACCCGAUUUUAAGGACAAAACCAGAUAUGCACCAUAUGUGAGUCUUAGAAGUCAAUUCUCACAUAAAAUAAGGGGUAAUAUCAAUAGACAUUGAUCACACGGUUUUCCUUGAUCUUUUAGGUCGGUGGUGCACGAUCCAAGAGUUUGGUUCGGAUUGGCUCCGAGACCUGGGCGGGCGCCCAAGCGGGGAGGGCGGGCGCCCUGCCCCCGAGCCCGUUGUUGGGUAUUCUUAACAUCAUUACCAAAAGUAGACUAAGUUCUCUAAAUCCAGUAACGGUGCCAAAAAUGCCAAACCUAUCCCUCACACCACUUAAGCCAAGUUGUCAUCCCCAGCAUGACAUGAGAGACACGG
rnacentral:lncRNA from 1 species